rnacentral:hammerhead_ribozyme from 1 species
AUCCAGCUGGCGUCCCAAAUAGGACGAAAUGCGCAUCCUGGAU